rnacentral:misc_RNA from 1 species
AAGUCGUAACAAGGUCUCCGUAGGUGAACCUGCGGAGGGAUCAUCAUAGAAAACAAUAUUCUAAACCCCAAGUGUUAGGAGAAAAGAGGGAGGGGGGGGGAAAAGGAGGAGAAAAAAGGGUUUUAUUGCUCUCUUUUUCUUUCUUUCCUUCUUUCUUUUUUUCCUGAUGCUUCAAACAAACGAUCACAACUAAAGAGAGAGAAAAUGUGUGGAUACCUGGUUUUUUUCGAGGGGAAUUAUACAAGUGCUUGCCUGAUAAUCUGAUUAUUGGAAUUGGAAAGAGAAAACAAUAUACAACUUUCAACAACGGAUCUCUUGGCUCUCA